CGGGGCAUAGCGCAAUUGGUUAGCGCACUGGCAUGGGGUGCCAGAGGUUGUGGGUUCGCCAUGCACUAGAGCAUAGCACAGUGCAGGGCGCCCCGCCCCAA
rnacentral:tRNA from 1 species